UAUUAAUAGGAGUACUGAAAGCGGUAUCAUAGCCCUCCUGACUGGUCUUCCUCUGCUCUAUUGGAUCAAUGUUUCUCUCCCUUUCUCCGCACACUGAAGUGGGAUGCAUGCAUACACUUAACCACAGACAGCUUUACUGAAUUCAUCAGCACAGCCCAGGACAUGAGGAAAAGUGGGCAUUCAGAGCAGACAGUCACUUUAAAUAAAACUACAGAGAUUGCAAAUGCCACGGCUUGCUUAUUUACUUACUGCAUCUCAGUCUGCCCAAAAUGUGGAAAUAAUGUUUCCAGAGAUGCUGGAAUUCAUCUGUCUGUUGAGGAUCCUGGCUCCUGUCCUGAAUGAUACUGCAUAUUCAGGGGAUGAUUCAUUCACUCCCGAGCGGGAGGAAGGGCUGUACCAGCUGUACCACCUCUCCGCUCCGAUUGACGGCGGUGAUGCUCCCACGGGGAAGCUGUGCCUCCAGGUUCAGCCAGCAAUUACAGAACAAACAAAGGAGAAGUGGAAUGGAGAAAUGAUUCACGGGAAUAGGAACCAAAAGAGAACCGGGAGGUGAUGCCAAGCCGGGCUGACCGUAAAACUUUCAUUUCUUUCUGCUGAAAAUGUGCAGUCAGGAUUGUGCAUCUCUUUGGUGUGUAAAUGAAUGGUGUCCUUUGCCAUCUGUAAGGGAGGAUCCAGGAGAGAGAAAUGGCUCUGAGGACUUUGAGCCUGCAAAAGGAUGGGAAGCUUCAAGCCAACAGCACGGAAAGACACAGCCUGGUGACCCU
rnacentral:lncRNA from 1 species